CUUGGUUCAGAACGAACGCUGGCGGCGUGCUUAACACAUGCAAGUCGAACGCGAAAGGGACUUCGGUCCUGAGUAAAGUGGCGCACGGGUGAGUAACGCGUAGAUAACCUGUCUUCAUGUCUGGAAUAAUACGCCAAAGGGGUACUAAUACCGGAUAUUCUUGCUUUUCAUAAGUUAUGCAAGCAAAGGUGGCCUCUGCAUAUGCUACUGCAUGAAGAGGGGUCUGCGUACCAUUAGCUAGUAGGUGGGGUAAUGGCCUACCUAGGCGACGAUGGUUAGCGGGUCUGAGAGGAUGAUCCGCCACACUGGCACUGGAACACGGGCCAGACUCCUACGGGAGGCAGCAGUGAGGAAUAUUGCGCAAUGGGGAAACCCUGACGCAGCGACGCCGCGUGAGUGAAGGAAGGCCUUCGGGUCGUAAAGCUCUGUCAAGAGGAAAGAAGUGUACAAUGGCUCAUACCUGUUGUAUUUGACGGUACCUCUAAAGGAAGCACCGGCUAACUCCGUGCCAGCCGCCGC
rnacentral:rRNA from 1 species